UUUAAAUUGUUUUAAAAAUAUAAGUUUAAUAUGAUAAAUUUAAUUAUAGUUUAAAAAUUAAUUAUAAAAUUUUUGUAUAUAUAAUUUUUAGAAUAGGAAUAUUUAAUAUAAAUAUGAGAAAUAGUAUAUAAAAUUAAUUUGAUUUAAUAGAUGUUAAUUAUUAGAAAUUUUUGUAGUUUAGAUAAAAGUUGUGCCAGCAAUCGUGGUUAUACAAUUUAGAUAAAUUAAUUUAAUUAAAUUAAAAUUGGUUUGUAAUUUAUAAAUAAAAAAUAUGGAAAUUAUUUGGUGAAAUAAAUAAAUUUUUUAUUAUAUUAUUUUUUUGAGAUGAUGAGAUUUUUUAAAAUUUUUAUAAAACUAGGAUUAGAUACCCUAUUAUAAAGUUGAGAGUUUGAGUUUGAGGAUUAAAUGAUUUAUCAUUAAAUUUAAAUAAUUUGGCGGUAUUUUAAUUUUAUUAGAGGAAUUUAUUAAAUAAUUGAUAAUCCACGAUAAGAGUAACUUAAAUAAAAAUUUUUAUAUUGUUGUUUGAAAAGUAUUUUUGUAAAAAUUAAUUAAUAUUUUAAAUUUAAUAAAGAAUUCAGAUCAAAAUGAAGUGAAUAUUUAAAGAAUUAAUGAAUUACAAUAAAUUUUAUUUAAAAUGGAUUUAAAAUUUAAAAUUUUUAAUGAAGGUGGAUUUAAAAGUAAAAUUAAAUAAUUAUUUAAUUUGAUUAAAAUUUUAAAAUAUGUACAAAUUGCCCGUCGUUCUCUUUGAAAGAAGAGGUAAGUCGUAACAUAGUAAGAGUACUGGAAAGUGUUUUUAGAA
rnacentral:ncRNA from 1 species